GAGCAACUUAAAUCCUGGGCUCCAAUAUGGCUGCUUGGUGCCAGUCUUUCAGAGGAAAGCAGCCCCAAAAGCCAGCUACCUGAGGAUUCUCCAGGCAUAGACUUUCCUAGUUUAAACUGAGGGUGAGUCUUCACAGCGCACCCUACUCCAAGAUACACACCAGCUAGUAUCUUCAGAGAUGUCAAAAUUAAAAUUUCACAAUCA